UACAGAGGGGGCAAGCGUUAUUCGGAAUUAUUGGGCGUAAAGGGCGCGUAGGCGGCCUGAUAAGUCAAAGGUGAAAUCCCUCGGCUCAACUGAGGAAUUGCCUUUGAAACUGUCAGGCUUGAGGCCGGGAGGGGGUGGCGGAAUUCCCAGUGUAGCGGUGAAAUGCGUAGAUAUUGGGAGGAACACCAGUGGCGAAGGCGGCCACCUGGACCGGUUCUGACGCUGAUGCGCGAAAGCGUGGGGAGCAAACAGG
rnacentral:rRNA from 1 species